GCCCGGAACUCACGUGCUGCAAUCAAACCAGGAGCCUCAAACACCCGAGGCAAGCACUCUGCCACUGAAUUACAGCGCAGAAGAAAAGUGGCUACAGUCCUUGAAGAGAUAACGGGGACUUCAGCCAAGUUUCCUGUACAAGUGGCUCACAGGUUAAACAACAGGUGCACCAGAGUCAUGUACAGGAGUCUUUCCUCACCAGGCCCACUGACACUGACUGGGAAACGAAGGACUUCGUUGUAAAUACCAAGGAAGUCAUGUCACAAAGAGAGAUUCACAACCAGUAAGAAAUGUUACAAGGCAAGGCAGAGAACACGUGUAGGCUGGGUCACAAACAAUUACUACAGAACAAGGCACAUUUU
rnacentral:lncRNA from 1 species